rnacentral:rRNA from 1 species
GGAGAAAAGCAGGGGAUCGCAAGACCUUGCGCUCUUGGAGCGGCCGAUGUCUGAUUAGCUAGUUGGUGAGGUAAAGGCUUACCAAGGCGACGAUCAGUAGCUGGUCUGAGAGGACGACCAGCCACACUGGGACUGAGACACGGCCCAGACUCCUACGGGAGGCAGCAGUGGGGAAUUUUGGACAAUGGGGGAAACCCUGAUCCAGCCAUGCCGCGUGAGUGAAGAAGGCCUUCGGGUUGUAAAGCUCUUUCAGCCGGAACGAAACGGUCACGGCUAAUACCUGUGACUACUGACGGUACCGGAAGAAGAAGCACCGGCUAACUACGUGCCAGCAGCCGCGGUAAUACGUAGGGUGCAAGCGUUAAUCGGAAUUACUGGGCGUAAAGCGUGCGCAGGCGGUUUUGUAAGUCAGAUGUGAAAUCCCCGGGCUUAACCUGGGAACUGCGUUUGAAACUACAAAGCUAG